GUCUGAAAUAAUUUAUAUUGAUGUCAGCUUUCGUAACAUAAUAAUCGGUGGUGGCGGAGGCGGAUGUUGCAUUCCUAUACCGAACCCCUGCGCGUGUUGUUGCCGCUGUUGCUUCGAGCUCAUCUGUAAGCUGCUCUGCUGUCUCUUAAUUUUAGUCUUGAUUGCUGCUGGGUUGUUCUUGUUGGCUGAAGCGCUUUGUUCGUAGUAUACAUCGCAGGCAAACUUGACAAAGUUGGCGUAACGUCUACAUAAGUGAUGGUGCUCUGAAUGUUGCAGCCCAGGCGUUCAUAUGUGUUGUAUCCUGUGCUAUCGGGCUGAUAGUAGUUCUUAUAUUACUAGCCGCAGACG